rnacentral:rRNA from 1 species
GAUGAACGCUGGCGGCGUGCUUAAUACAUGCAAGUCGAACGAGGGACUUCUGUCUUCGGAUGGAGGUUUCCUAGUGGCGAACGGGUGAGUAACGCGGUGGUGACCUGCCUCGAAGCGGGGGAUAACAGUUCGAAAGGACUGCUAAUCACCCAUGUGAUCUUUAGGAUUAGAACCCUUCUGAUCAAAGGCGUAAGCCGCUUUGGGAGGUGUCUGCGUCGCAUCAGCUAGUUGGUAGGGUAAUGGCCUACCAAGGCUAUGACGGGUAGGGGACCUGAGAGGGUGGCCCCCCACACUGGCACUGAAACACGGGCCAGACACCUACGGGUGGCAGCAGUAGGGAAUUUUGGACAAUGGGCGAAAGCCUGAUCCAGCAAUGCCGCGUGCAGGAUGAAGGCCUUCGGGUUGUAAACUGCUUUUGUACGGAACGAAAAGCUCUGGGUUAAUACCCUGGGGUCAUGACGGUACCGUAAGAAUAAGCACCGGCUAAC